rnacentral:rRNA from 1 species
UACAGAGGAGCCAAGCGUUGUCCGGAUUGACUGGGCGUAAAGCGCACGCAGGCGGAUGUGCGCGUGGGGUGUGAAAUCUGGCCGCUUAACGGCCAGGCGCCAUCCCAUACGGCGCGUCUGGAGGGCUGCAGAGGUCGAUGGAAUUGCCGGUGUAGUGGUGAAAUGCGUAGAGAUCGGCAGGAACACCCAGGGGGAAACCAGCGACUGGGCAGGCACCUGACGCUGAGGUGCGAGAGCGUGGGGAGCGAACCGGAUUGAGAAACCCCAGGUAG